rnacentral:rRNA from 1 species
AAUGAACGUUGGCGGCAUGGAUUAGGCAUGCGAGUCGAGCGAGAACCGUAGCGAUACGGGGACAGCGGCGAAAGGGAGAGUAAUGUGUGGAUAUCGACCUCCAGGCCUGGGACAACUACGGGAAACUGUAGCUAAUACCAGAUAAUGUCUGCGGACCAAAGGUGUGAUUCCUCCGGGAUAUGAGUCCACAUCCUAUUAGCUAGUUGGUAGGGUAAUGGCCUACCAAGGCAAUGAUGGGUAGCAGGUGUGAGAGCACGACCUGCCUCAUUGGGACUGAGACACUGCCCAGACACCUACGGGUGGCUGCAGUCGAGAAUCUUCGGCAAUGGGCGCAAGCCUGACCGAGCGAUGCCGCGUGCGGGAUGAGGGCCUUCGGGUUGUAAACCGCUGUCAGAGGGGAUGAAAUACGUCGGGGGUUCUCCCCCGGGUUUGACAUAUCCUCAGAGGAAGGACGGGCUAAGUUCGUGCCAGCCGCCGCUGUAA